rnacentral:rRNA from 1 species
UACGUAGGGGGGCUAGCGUUGUCCGGAUUUAUUGGGCGUAAAGAGCGUGUAGGCGGCCAGGUAGGUCUGGUGUGAAAACUCGAGGCUUAACCUCGAGAUGUCAUCGGAAACUCAUCUGGCUAGAGUCCGGAAGAGGAGAGUGGAAUUCCUGGUGUAGCGGUGAAAUGCGCAGAUAUCAGGAAGAACACCAAUGGCGAAAGCAGCUCUCUGGGACGGUACUGACGCUGAGACGCGAAAAGCGU